rnacentral:antisense_RNA from 1 species
AACUUUUCUAUUUUUAUUUUUUUAUUUUAAAAAAUCCACCAAAAUUACUUAAAUCAUUUGACAGAGUCAUACAAUUUUAAAUGACUAUAAAAAUGUGCAGAUCAGUGCCAAAUUUUUUGGCAAAGGCUGAAUGGCAGACAGUAAUCCAAGACGCAGACAACCUUGCUUUUAAGCCAUCCGUUACACAGAGACCAGCAGGCUCCCUUCUACCUGAGGGCCAGCGGCCGGGGUUGGGGUGGGGGGGCCGGAAUACUCUCACUUCCUCUCCGCGCACCUGCCCCGAGGCUGGAGCGCCGCCCGGCUGGGCCUCCGGCGGAUGUUUUCCUUGUCCCCAAACGUGUAGUGCGCGCCGCCAGCCGCCCCCUCCGGGACCUGCGCGCCAGCCACCGCGCCCCCAGGACCCAGCGGGCCUGGUCCUCACCACUCACCCCCUCCCCAGCAGGCACGCAUGCGGGCUCGACCCACACCUCUGCACCGCCCCCCAACUUCUGGGAGAGGACUCCUGGCUCAGCCCAGCCUCUAGCUUUCCAGAAGCCCCUAUAUGCCUACCUCAUCUUCGUUAUAGGCGAUGAACCUUCACUUCUGUCCCCGUUUCCGCACACGCACCAAUCCCCACUGGCGAUCCCUUCCCCUUCGGCAUCACCCCCACCUUCAUGCGCCCCAGCUCCCCACUCACAUCCGCCCCCUAUUGGGCUGGCU